rnacentral:lncRNA from 1 species
UAUGUAACUAGUGUGUUAAAUAUAUAUAUAUAUAUUUCUAUUUUAUGUUAUAAUUUGAUUAUGUUUUCGGAUCGGAUUGUGUCAAUACGCUGUUUUCACAUAUACGUGUAUGAGGCGUGACAUUUGUGUUAUCCGAUCCAGUUGCGAUGAUCGCAAUUUUGCGCUAGCAACACCGUUGUUUUUUUUUAAUUCAUAUUUUUUUUAUAUUCAUAUAUUUAGAUCUGCACACUUUUUUUUUCAUAACUAACUACCCUGAUUUUUCCUAAACCCUGACAAUUUCGCCACAAACUCUAAAUUUCAAACCUAAAA